rnacentral:misc_RNA from 1 species
AACUUGGGGAUAAUUGUGAAGGGAAAGAAGGGUAACAGUUAUAAUGCAAGAAUUGGAGAAUCGGUAGGAGAAUUUGAGUAAAGAGGCUGAAGCAAGGAAUCAAAAAGCUUUAGAUGAGAUCAAAGCUCUAAUUGGAAGGAUUGAGCGGAAGAACAAAUGACAGAAGUAGUGGUAGUGGGAAUAGCAAUUCUAAUCAGAAUUAUCAAAUGAAUCAUCAGAAUUGGGGUUGGGGGCACUCUACUAAACUUGAAUUUCCAAAGUUUGAUGGUGAUGGUUUGGAAGGUUGGUUGAUGAGAGCCGGAUAUUUUUUUGAUGUGGCUAAUAUAGUUGCUAUAGGGAGGG